GUUUGCAGGCCGAGUGGUUAAGGCGGUGGACUAGAAAUCCAUUGGGGUCUCCCCGCGCAGGUUGGAAUCCUGCUGACAACG
rnacentral:tRNA from 1 species